CACUAAGAAGCUAUAUAGCACUAACCUUUUAAGUUAGAAAUUGAGAGUACUCCAACCUCUCCUUAGUGA